rnacentral:ncRNA from 1 species
UUAAAAGUGAUGAUGGAGAAAGAGAAAUGCCCCUAUGUUUCAGAGAGCCGGGUAAGGUGGGAGCCGGUAACAUAUGUAUAUUCUUGAGUCACUCCUGAACUGCAAGGCUGAAAGCAUUGAGUAGGCCGCGCCGGAAUCAGUUCGUAAUGGAACGCAGCCGUUAACUUGCUAGGGUUUAGCAAUAGACCUGAUGAGAGAUGUAUUCAUACUUUUGAAUACAACAAGGGUGGUACCGCGAGAGAAACCUCUUGCCCCUUUU